GCAAAGAAAAAUACCAAAAAAAGAUGUUAGUAUAACCAGGAAUAUAAGGAGGGAUCAUUUGUCACUGCAAAAAUAUCCAGCUUGUAUUCUAGAUUUUGACCAGACAACAAGCCUUGUAUGAGCCCAGGAGGAGACGCAAUUAUUGACUCGAUGACUCUCCAGGAAAAUAGAAUUACACUCUUAAGGGUUUCCUUUGGGGGCAGAUGACACUUUUUUUCCCCUCGGAAUCCUACAAUUAGUCAGUGUGGUGCCAAACCGGAACAUACAACGUGAUUCUGAGCUCAGACUUUAUAUUGUAGGACCAUAUGGGCGGAACUGGGCAUUGUAGAGCGCUAAUGGAACUACAGAUCUCAGGAAUACUCGCUGGGAACCAACUGGUAUGCAGCCUAUACCACCCUUUGGAUAGGAAGGGGGCAAAUGAAAAAUAACUGAAG